rnacentral:rRNA from 1 species
AGAGUUUGAUCCUGGCUCAGAUUGAACGCUGGCGGCAGGCCUAACACAUGCAAGUCGAACGGUAGCACAGAGAGCUUGCUCUUGGGUGACGAGUGGCGGACGGGUGAGUAAUGUCUGGGAAACUGCCCGAUGGAGGGGGAUAACUACUGGAAACGGUAGCUAAUACCGCAUAACGUCGCAAGACCAAAGUGGGGGACCUUCGGGCCUCACACCAUCGGAUGUGCCCAGAUGGGAUUAGCUAGUAGGUGGGGUAAUGGCUCACCUAGGCGACGAUCCCUAGCUGGUCUGAGAGGAUGACCAGCCACACUGGAACUGAGACACGGUCCAGACUCCUACGGGAGGCAGCAGUGGGGAAUAUUGCACAAUGGGCGCAAGCCUGAUGCAGCCAUGCCGCGUGUAUGAAGAAGGCCUUCGGGUUGUAAAGUACUUUCAGCGAGGAGGAAGGCAUUAAGGUUAAUAACCUUGGUGAUUGACGUUACUCGCAGAAGAAGCACCGGCUAACUCCGUGCCAGCAGCCGCGGUAAUACGGAGGGUGCAAGCGUUAAUCGGAAUUACUGGCGUAAAGCGCACGCAGGCGGUCUGUCAAGUCGGAUGUGAAAUCCCCGGGCUCAACCUGGGAACUGCAUUCGAAACUGGCAGGCUAGAGUCUUGUAGAGGGGGGUAGAAUUCCAGGUGUAGCGGUGAAAUGCGUAGAGAUCUGGAGGAAUACCGGUGGCGAAGGCGGCCCCCUGGACAAAGACUGACGCUCAGGUGCGAAAGCGUGGGGAGCAAACAGGAUUAGAUACCCUGGUAGUCCACGCCGUAAACGAUGUCGACUUGGAGGUUGUGCCCUUGAGGCGUGGCUUCCGGAGCUAACGCGUUAAGUCGACCGCCUGGGGAGUACGGCCGCAAGGUUAAAACUCAAAUGAAUUGACGGGGGCCCGCACAAGCGGUGGAGCAUGUGGUUUAAUUCGAUGCAACGCGAAGAACCUUACCUACUCUUGACAUCCAGAGAACUUUCCAGAGAUGGAUUGGUGCCUUCGGGAACUCUGAGACAGGUGCUGCAUGGCUGUCGUCAGCUCGUGUUGUGAAAUGUUGGGUUAAGUCCCGCAACGAGCGCAACCCUUAUCCUUUGUUGCCAGCGGUUCGGCCGGGAACUCAAAGGAGACUGCCAGUGAUAAACUGGAGGAAGGUGGGGAUGACGUCAAGUCAUCAUGGCCCUUACGAGUAGGGCUACACACGUGCUACAAUGGCAUAUACAAAGAGAAGCGACCUCGCGAGAGCAAGCGGACCUCAUAAAGUAUGUCGUAGUCCGGAUUGGAGUCUGCAACUCGACUCCAUGAAGUCGGAAUCGCUAGUAAUCGUAGAUCAGAAUGCUACGGUGAAUACGUUCCCGGGCCUUGUACACACCGCCCGUCACACCAUGGGAGUGGGUUGCAAAAGAAGUAGGUAGCUUAACCUUCGGGAGGGCGCUUACCACUUUGUGAUUCAUGACUGGGGUGAAGUCGUAACAAGG